CCUACGGGAGGCAGCAGUGGGGAAUAUUUGUCAAUGGGCGAGACCCUGAACCAGCCACGUCGCGUGAAGGAUGACAGCCCUCUGGGUUGUAAACUUCUUUUAUAAGGGAGUAAAGUGAGACACUUGUGCCUUUUUGCAUGUACAUUAUGAAUACUGAUCGGCUAGAUCCGUGCCAGCAGCCGCGGUAAUACGGAUGGGGCGAGCGUUAUCCGGAUUUAUUGGGUUUAAAGGGAGCGUAGAUGGGUUGGUAAGUCAGUGGUGAAAGGGGGGGGCUCAACCGGAAGACUGCAAUUGAUACUGUGAGACUGGAGUACAGGAGGGGGAGGCGGAAUUCGUGGUGUAGCGGUGAAAUGCGUAGAUAUCACGAAGAACACCGAUGGCGAAGGCAGCCUACUGGACAGUGACUGACGUUGAGGCUCGAAAGCGUGGGUAGCAAACAGGAUUAGAUACCCGAGUAGUC
rnacentral:rRNA from 1 species